GCAUUUGUAGACGAAUGGUACGUCGCUCAGCACCGUUUCAAUAGAUAAUUACAGCAUGUAGAGACGUGUUGCUGGGAGGUGGCGGUUCGAUUCCUCCCAAAGGCA